rnacentral:rRNA from 1 species
GACGGACGCUGGCGGCGUGCUUAACACAUGCAAGUCGAACGGAAAGGCCCUGCUUUUGUGGGGUGCUCGAGUGGCGAACGGGUGAGUAACACGUGAGUAACCUGCCCUUGACUUUGGGAUAACUUCAGGAAACUGGGGCUAAUACCGGAUAGGAGCUCCUGCUGCAUGGUGGGGGUUGGAAAGUUUCGGCGGUUGGGGAUGGACUCGCGGCUUAUCAGCUUGUUGGUGGGGUAGUGGCUUACCAAGGCUUUGACGGGUAGCCGGCCUGAGAGGGUGACCGGCCACAAUGGGACUGAGAUACGGCCCAGACUCCUACGGGAGGCAGCAGUGGGGAAUAUUGCACAAUGGGCGGAAGCCUGAUGCAGCAACGCCGCGUGCGGGAUGACGGCCUUCGGGUUGUAAACCGCUUUCGCCUGUGACGAAGCGUGAGUGACGGUAAUGGGUAAAGAAGCACCGGCUAACUACGUG